GGUGACAGAUGGGCACUGGAGGGAAGCUGACAGAAGGAAUGUCCCAGGGUGACACAUCUGCUUGUUCUGUCACUGCCCAGCCAGCAGAGGCAACCACACAAGAGGUGCAUGAUGCCCGCUUUUCAGCAGGACCCUGAUGGAAAUUAAUGUAUUAAUGUCACACAUAAAGAAUGUGAAGGAGCUUAAAUUAAUAUUCACUCCCCAGGGACCUUGGCAAUUUCCAACAAGGUUUCGAGGAGUCACAGGGGAUGUGGAAAGUCGGAGGAGCAGUAGUUGGAAGCAUUGGGCAGUUUUUAAUCUAAAGAGGCUUUGAGCUUGUGAAGCUUGACUCUGGGGAGCAAGAAGAGUGUGGGCAAAAGCCAGGUCUCUGCAGGUCCUCUUCCCUGUUCAGGCUCAGGUGCUUUUAGCUCUAGAAAUUUCUCCCCACCUCACACUCCCUUGGCCUUCACCCUCCACCCUUCAUCUUCUUCUGCAAUCUUAAUUUCCAAGGUGGUCUCUUCAAUAGAAAGAUGUGGAACUCCACCCCCUGCUUCUCCCCUGGCCUCCCUGCCUGGCCAGCCCUCGCCCAGCCAUGUCUGUGCUGUGUGACAUUAGCAGUGUGCUUGCUCUCUCUGUGCCCUCCUUCCUUAUUUGAGAUCAUGACUGUAAUUACUUUGCAGGGGAGAUGGGCUGAUAGGUGGAAUAUGGGUUUAGCUCAGGCCUGCCACCUGUCCACCACUGUUGCCUGUCCAUGUGAGUGGCAGCCUCCUGGAGCGGGGUUCAGGUGACCUCAGGGUGACCAAGGAGGAAAGCCAUGAGCACCCUCACCUUGCACCAGGGAGGCAGGUCCAUGUGUGGUUGCCUGGACCACACCAGGGAUGCUCACAUCUUCUUUUGUUUUGAGCGACCUGUGCCUGCCACCUCUCACAUGCUUGCUUUCUCUUUUCUUUCUCUGCAAUUUUAUUUCAUUCAUUCUUUUUUUUUUUUUUUUUGCAGUUUUAAUGAGGGAUUAAAUGGUGUUCUGCACAGCAUGCAGUCAUUUUAUUUUAAACUUUGGAAUGAUUCUAGAUGUGCAGAAAGUUGCAACAAUAGUUCGCAGCCCCUUCACCCAGCUCCCUGAUGCAACAUCUUAAAUCACCUGGUGCUUUGCUCAGGCCUGUGGGAACAGCGUCCUUCUGACAGACUCGGCCCUGUUGGGAUUGAUGGGUCCUGGGAAUGUCCUUUUUCUGCCCCAGCCAGAGUCCCACACUGUGUCUGCAGUUACUUUUCCCCAGUCCCCUCCAAGCUGUGAUGCUUCCUUGGUCCUCCUUCCUGUCUUUGGGCCUCGGCAUUUUUGAGGAGGACCGGUCAGGUGUCCUGUGGUUUGUGCCUCUGCUUGGGUUUCUCUGCUCUUUCCUCCCCAUUGGGCCUGGGCUGAGGGUUUGAGGAGACCAGAGCGGAAGGUACUUAUCAUUUCUCAUCAGGGGUUAGUUUUUUAUAAGAGUUGACUCAGGGAGUUCCCGAUGUGGCACAUUGGGUUAAGAACCUGAUUGCAGCUGUUCAUGCAGCUGCAGAGGCCUGGGUUUGAUCUCCUCCAGGCACCAUGAUGAAAGGAUCCGGAUUCAAUCCCUGGCCUGGGAACUUCCAUAUGCUGCAGGUGAGGCUAUUAAAAAAAAAAAAAAAAAAAAAAAAAAGACUUAUUCUUGAUGGUCCUUCCAGCUCUGCUUCGUCUGUUAUUGCUUAAUGAGUCUACAAAUGAAGGUGCAAAGUGCUCUCACCAAGGUGCUGGCCCCGAGAUUCUCCUGAAUCUGAAACUUUCCUCCCGGUGCCGGUGCCGGUGCAGUGGAAGUCACAGCUUCAAGGCCUUCCUCACAUGUGGAUUGGCUCCGUGGCCCAAGGGAAACGGUAACUAGAGCUUUUAAAAGACCUCUUUGGCUUUGGAGUUUCCUUGACUGAAGAAUUGCAGCCAAAGAGCAAAACCUUUUAUAUUUCUUCUCCUCUGUUUACCGGCUGCAUCCCAGCUCUGGGAGUUGUCUCUGAACACGUGUGACUCUGAAACCUUCAGUCAAGGAAGAACCGGCAGAAAAACAGUUCAUGCUUAGUUUAGAAAACUCAGAUGUGGAAGACAAGUUGUCCAGAAGGUAGCUGGUGUGAAAUAAUGAAGAGCAUCUGAGCAUCUGGACAGCCUGGUCCUGGCGAGUACCCUCCUGGUCCUGGCAGGCCUUCUCAAUUCUGGGGGAGUAUCCGCCUGACCCCUCCUGGUCCUGGUGGGGACCGGAGCCUCUGGGAGAGUCCUUGUUGCUGAGGCGGCACUUAAUUCAUAACCGAGCCUCAUCGUGCUCACACUCACAUGCAGCUUCUCUGCAGCGCUGAUGAUGCUGUCGGGCUGCAUUUUCCUUGCUCACUGGCCCUGCUGCAUCAUCGUAAAGGGCCCAGGAUACAUUGCAGGUCUUAAAAGAUAUGUCCGCAAAGUAAUUUCUUUAAGAUGGAAAAAGUGAAAGGAAACGUCUCUGCUUCUUCACAGGUGAAGUAACCAGGCAGGCAGGGGGUGCAGGAGAGCCUUGCCGCCCUGAACCUCACACCCACCCUGCUGGGGUGGGGUUCUGGACUCCUGUUCUUGGACUCUGGCGCCUCCCAGCAGUCAUUCAUUCCUGGACUCCAGCUGCCAGCUUGUGGGAGGUUGUCCGAAUUCCCGUUCCUGAGCCUGGAGGGCAGACACGUUACCUGGUUACGUGGUUAUGUGAUCGUGUAAAGAAAGGGCAAUACCGUGAAUUCUUAUUUCUGGGGAUCCCCACCUGCCUUUUUUCAUUUAUAAAAACGUGUGUGUUAACUUAUGAUUAAGAAGACAGACUUUUCAUGUACUGCUUAUGGUUCACGAAGCAGAAAUACUGCAUUUUAAACUUUAAAAGAUGUUUGCAAUGCUGUUUUUAAAGCUUGCCGUCAGAUGCCUACGGAAGACCUUUCCAGUGGGGUGAGAACAGUAGCACACAUCAGUGGGAUCCUCGAUCCAGUGCUCUGCUGGGUCAGCGCAGGUGAUGCAGGGCAGGGUGAAGUGGAGGUUCUGCCCCAAGAUGCAGGCAAGAUGCAGGUUUGAUAUGCAGGCAAGCCUGGGGUCACCCAGGAAAGCACACAGCAGGUCUUUGUUGGUGAUGUGCUGUCAGCCUGUAUCGGCGGCCCAUCCAAAUUAUUAAAUUAUUAGAUGCAGGUAGACCCCCUUUUCCGGUCCUGUUGCUGAGCCCUGGCUUUCAUUGUUCAGGCUUCUCCAUCCUCUGGCUUUUGCUCACACGGGUCAGAGGCCGAUGUCCGCAGUUGCUAACUGUGCAGCAUUUUACUGGCGGCUGCCCUUGAGGUGCUUUUAUUUAGUCUGAUCCGCAGAGCCCGAAAAGGCCCUGUACGUUUGCGGCAGUUUCUUUCUUAAAAGCCACAGCAAACUUUCUUUAGAAGGGUAAUUACUUUAAUAAUGACUUUUGAUCAUUUCAGACUCUGAGAGGCUGGGGGAGUCCUGCCUCCCAAGGGCACCAGCCUCUGGCUUGGGUACUUCAUUUACACGUUCUCGGGAAAGUCCGAUUGGGUUCAAUUAGCAUUCCCUCCUGUUUAAUCCGUCAGACUUCUGUUUCCCAACCCGGGAUUGAGGGCGGGCUAAGCGCCUGUUGUGACUUUGACCUUGGCCUGGGUCUGCCUCUCCCGGCUUAGCUGGAAAUGUGUUAAAAGGACUUUGAUGGUAUAUAGAGGAAUAACUGAGCAUGAACACCUGAUUGUGAAGCCCUGUGCUCGCCUCCUUUUUAUUAGGACCAAAGGAUCAUGGAGUGAAUUAGAGCAAAACCCUUGAAGGAUUUUUCCCUGCGAGGCAGCUGUGAGAGCAGGUCUGCGGAGCUGGGCGCUGGUGGGGAUGAGGGCGAGCACUUUCAUUUUAAUCAUCUGGAAAAGCCUUGCUCGGAGGAUAGUAGUUUGCACAUAAGUAACGUUUUCUUUUUGCCCUAAUUUGCCUGGCUUGCUGCUGAUGGGAUGGCAUUUGGGGGCAGAGCGUGGCCUCAAUGCCGACCGCUGCUCUCUCCUGCCAGGAGGAGCCGUCUCAGUGCAGAAAGCAGUACUGUGGAUCAGUUAAUUAUAACUUCACUACGUUCCUCUUUCCGUCUUUGGUUUUUAUCCGCGGUCUCUAAUGAGCGGGGCUGUGUCUUUCUCUGCCCCCUGUGCGUGGGGACAUGUGUGGCCUCAAGCCUUCCUGGCUUUGGUGCUUCCACCUAUGUGGAUGUUCUGGAGGCUUCUGUGUGUCAGGCCUGCAGUUCCUGGUAGAUGAAGUAUUACGGCGAGACUCGUCCUCCCCUUCUCUGGUAAUCCUGGGAGUUGCCUUUUGAUUAAAGUCGUACGGUGGUUUGAUUUGAGUUUGUAAGAAGGAGUCUCUGGGUUUGAAGCAUGGAAAUCGUAGGUAUCCUCUGCUGGGCGGGUCCCACCAGUGCCAGGUGUGGCAACGGGCAGGAGUGAUCUUGUGGCUCAGUGUGGCCACCGUGGGCUCUCCAGGAAAGCCUGGGAGCACUUCUGUGACAAAAGCACUCAGCAGAUGAAUUGAGAUGCCUUGAAGGAAAAUACUUUAAAAAUUUUUUUUUAAUUAAAAAAAAAUUUUUUUUUUUUUUUUCUUUUUUAGAGCCAUACCUGCAGCAUGUGGAGAGGUUCCUAGGCUUGGGUCCAAUCGGAGCUACAGCUGCUGGCCUACGCCACAGCCACAGCAGUGCCAGAUCUGAGUUGUGUCUGCAGCCUACACCACAGCUCACGGCACCGCUGGAUCCUUAACCCACUGAGCGAGGUCAGGGAUUGAACCUGGGUCCUUAUGGAUGCUAGUCAGAUUCGCUUCCGUUGAGCCACUAGGGGAACUCCCUAACUUUGAUUUUAAUCAGGAAUAUAUUAUGGUGCAAAAUAGGGUGGAAAGAGUUCAUAUGUUUUAUCUCUGGCUUUGGGGAAAAUCACUGGACAAGGGGGAGAGGAAGAGGGAGAGAGGCUUUUCCUUGAUGACCCCCCCUGCCCUGGACGGAGGCCAGCACUCCGGUCUGCAGGUGUAGAUGCCCAGAUGAACCAGCUACCUGCCCAGGUGUGAGUACCGCCUGGUGGGCGAGCUGGCCCAGGUGGGCAAGCAGCAGUUGUCUGUUGGCUGUCAGCAUAGCCAGUCCUGAGGGUGUGGGCCUGGGGCUCAGGCCCCAGAACCCGAUCUGGUGUGGUGAUGGGGUUGGACUUUGGUUUCUAUGCACUUCCUCCUUGAAUAUUUACACCAUGACUGAAUCUGGGAUCUGGGAUGGAAAGAAGAAGGGAUCUGAAUAUGCUGGGGGCCAAGGAUAUCCCAGACACUGGCUUAAGUCUGUAGGUGCCCUUUCUCCUCUCACAUCUGGGAGACCAGAUUCAUCGUUGUCGUCAUCCUAAAGAUGGGUUUCUGACAACUGCAGAAGCCCUGGGUGAUGAGUGACCUCCUCAAAUUCUCCUGAAGGCCAAAGUAAAGAGGAUGAUCCAGGGCUUUUUCAAAGCACUGGUCCAGGCAUGGCCAGGCUGCCACCUUGGACCCCCUGGUCCGAGGCUGCAGGUAGCAUCAUCCACUCACACCAUGAUUCUGUUUUCAGCAGGGGGGGGGGGCGCUUUGUGGUGGUGAAG
rnacentral:lncRNA from 1 species